rfam:Triticum urartu cultivar G1812 contig783481, whole genome shotgun sequence.
GGAAUGACUGGGCGUAAAGGGCAUGUAGACGGUGAAUCGAGUUGGAAGUGAAAGUUGCUAAAAAUUGAUGGAAUGCUCUCGAAACUAAUUCACUUGAGUGAGACAGAGGAGAGUGGAAUUUCAUGUGCAGGGGUUUCUAUAGAUCUACGAAGGAACGACAAAAGGCAGCUCUGUGGGUCCUCCUUUCGCAAGAAAAGAGAAUUCCACUUUCAAUUAGCUUACCCCGAUCCGAUGCACC